rnacentral:lncRNA from 10 species
CCUCAGUCCCAGCUUCUCCAAAGAAGUAAAAGGCAGCUCUGGGGACUAACAGCAGAUCUUGCAGUCAUUCAUAUCAAGCAGUUUUCAAGGCAACUAGUAAACAAAAGUAGAAUAUGUUUCAUGAUUCCAGAGAUUGGAAUCCCUACUUGAUUUUAAACCCUGGGGAUCUGUAGACCAAUAUAAAGCAGUUUAUGAUCUGGAGCAAGAGUCAGCAACUAUAGCUCAUGGGCCAGAUCUGGCCUGCCACCUGUUUCUAUAAAGCUGGGUUUUUGGGGUUUUGUUUUUUGUUGUUGUUGUUUUGACACAGGGUCUCACUUUAUCACCCAGGCUGGAGUGCAAGGGCGUGAUCUUGGCUCACUGCAGCCUUGACCUCCUGGGCUCAAGCGAUCCUCCCACCUCAGCCCCUGAAAGUAGCUGGAAAAACAGCAUCUAGGGUACUUCUACUGUUAUGAUUCUGAGCGUGGGUGAUGGCUCAUCUGGGCACCUACUCUCUGCAAGGCUGUGAACCUGAUCCUCUGAGUAAUCUUCAUGACAGUCCUGAGGGGGUGAAGUUGUCCCCACUUGGGGACAGUGAAUGAUGGAAUGAUCUGAUCCCACAUCUUCUGCCAAAGCACACACCAUAGAAACAAGUACGAAGUGCAUUCUUAAUUCUUCAUGACAGGUGCUGCUUAUUCUAUUUUUAAGGUGGGAAAUUGCAGGUUAUAGAGAAUAAGGUUUUGCAUGAUUGUAGAGCUAGUAAAUGGUGGGUGGGUGGUAACUAUCUCUUCAGGCUGCUGCUUAGAACCUGUAUGCUCCCCAUUCUCAUCCCCUUGCAUCUAAGGUUCCUGUUCCCCAAUGGAAAACCCCUUUGGGAAGCUGAUUCCCCUGCAGCUGUAGAGGGGAGUUUGAGGUUCCCUUGACUCUUCUGUUGAAUGACUGCUGAAUGAAGGUGUCUCCCCUAAAGAGAGCAUUCCUGACACUGUCAUCAUCCCUCCAGUUCUCCCAGAAGCAGACCUUGAGACAAGGAGUUGUGUGCCAGGGAAUUAUCAAUGGAUUGUCUCCAGGAGGAACUGGGAAGGGAGAGGGGAAGCAGGAUAGGAAAGGGUAGAAUUCCAGCAAGGGUAUGAUUUCAGGCAAAUCCCAGCCUGAGCCUGAUCCUGCAGGGUGCUGUGGGGCACAGUGUAGCCUCUUAAUAGGUCUUGAUUCCCAGCAAGGGACCUGAGCUUCUAUUGUCCCCACCAGUCAGUCACUGCAUGGGGGGCUGCCCUAGAACAUAAAGUCCCAGACACUUCUGUCUCUGUGGGUGAGGCCAAAGCAACUCCAAUGCCCCCUGGGAAGUUUCAUUGCUUUCAUCUCUUGUGACCAUCAAUCUAUUGCAACGUGUGCUGUAGCCUACCCCACCCCCAGACGGCUGUCCCUCUGGUCAUUAUUGUCCUAGUCCCAGGACCAGGUGGAGGUCUCCUUAUAAAUCCUAUCUCCCUUUUGUGAAAUGAAGUGGUCGUUUGCAGUGUUUUAAAGGGAGAAUGAAAUAUUCCAGUCAGAAGGACUUUCUUCUGACAGCACGUUACAUGAAAACUGCCAACUCUUUAUACUUAAGACUUCUGUCUACUCAAUUCAUUGAUCCUCCCUCCUCCCCCUCCCACAACACUUAAGCUAUGUAGAAGUGAGUUUCUCAAAGAACUAUCAGGAAGUGUGAGUUGCUCAUUCUUUUGGAAAGCAAUCUAGUGAACUCUAAAAUUCCAAAAUUGCAUGGCCUUUGACCCAGCAGAACUCUAGCCUAGCAAUAGUAAGUACAAUAGUAAGUACUCGACAGGCACACAGUGGUGUUGACUGUAGCCCAUCUUAUAACAUCCAAAGAACUGGGCAUGACCUGCACGUCCAUCCGUAAGGAAGAGGCUGGGGGUGGUGAUCCGUCUGGACUGUGGAACAAGCUUGUCCAACCUGUGGCCUGCAAGCACCCCAGGAUGGCUUUUGUGGCCCAACACAAAUUUGUAAACUUUCUUAAAAUAUAUUUUCACAAUGAUUUUUUUUUAGCUCAUCAGCUAUCGAUAGCGUAUUUUAUUUUAUGUGUGGCCCAAGACCAUUCUUCCAAUAUGGCCAAGGGAAGCCAAAAGAUUGGACACCCUUGGUGUGGAAUACCAUGCGACUGUUAAAAAGAGACCCAUGAAUUCUAUGUUGAAAAUGUGUCCGGGAUGUAUUAGCAAAAAACACACACUGCAGAAUAACAAUACAGUGCAAAUUCCCCCCUCUUUUUUUUGAGACAGGGUUUCUCUCACCCAGGCUGUAGUGCAGUGGUGUGAUCAUAGCUCACUGCAGCCUCAACCUCCCGGGCUCAAGUGAUCCACCUCAGCCUCCCAAAUUGCUGAGAUUAUAGAUGUGAGCCACCGUGACUGGCCGGCAAUCUCACUUUUGCCAAAGUGGGUAAAUCCUACAUGUAUGCAUGUUUACAUAAGAAUGGAGAAAAGUGGGGGAAGUAAUACAUCAAAAGAUGAUGACUGGUUAGUCCUGAGUGAUUGGACAGUAUAGCUCUCUGCAUUACUUUUCCUUAAAGAUACAGCUUUGUAAUAUUGAAUAAGUUACAAAGGUAAACUUUAAAACUGAAAUGUUGGGAGCUGCUGGUUGAAGCAGGAAGGUGGAGCAAGCCUCAUUCCUAGCCUCCAGCUUCCCUCUUCCCUCCUGUUCUCCUGGGCAGGCAUGUGGAUUGCAGGGCCUCACCUCCUUGGUCCUCCUGGGACAUCUCACAUUGACACAGCCCACGCUGCUCAGCCCACCAGCUCUCAGCAGGCCUGCUGCCCCUGCCCUGACCCCGGUUCUCUGAGAGGUUGAAAGGCCAUGGUGAGAUAACCCAGCUCCGUGCCCCCACCUGGCAGAAGAUCAGUUAAAAGGCAUCCAAGCGGAGGACCCCCGUGGCUGCCUAUUUAGAGUUCCUUCAGAGCCUCCCAUGAUAACAGCCACCAUGGCUGAGCGCUUACAUAGCAGAGCUUACAGCUAAGAGCAUGGACUCUGAAAUAAGUCACCUGUCAUCUCCAGGCCUUAGUUUGCUCUUCUGUGAAAUGGGCAUAACGGUACCUCUCAGAGUGGUUAUAACUAAAAGAUCAUAUGCAUGAAAAGACAUACUGCAUGUUGCAUGUUGUCAUGUGGGAACUAAAAGUUGAUCUUGUAGAGUAGAAUAGUGGUUACUGGAGGAUGGGAAGGGUCAGGGGUGCAGGUGGAGAUAGCCCAAGGUAGGUGAAUGGAUACGAAGUUACAGCUAGCUAGGAGGAAUGAGCUCCAGUGUUUUAUAGCAUUGUAGGUGACUGUGAUAGUAAUUUGUUGUAUAUUUUCAAAUAGCCAGAAGGGCAGAUUUUGAAUGUUCCCAACACAAAGAAAUGAUCAAUGUUUAAGGUGAUUUUUAUGUCAAUUACCCUGAUUUGAUCAUUAUACAUUGCAUAACUAUUGUAAUAUCACUGUACCCUAUAAAUAUGUGCAGUUAUGUCAAAUAAAAGCAAAAAUGCUAAAAAAGAU